rnacentral:lncRNA from 1 species
UCCUCUCCUAGCUCCUCCUCCUCCUUCCUCUCCUAGCUCCUCCUCCUUCCUCUCCUAGCUCCUCCUUCCUCUCCUAGCUCCUCCUCCUUCCUCUCCUAGCUCCUCCUCCUUCCUCUCCUAGCUCCUCCUUCCUCUCCUAGCUCCUCCUCCUUCCUUGGAAACCCGUGAUAUGCUUUUGCAGAGUGUUCUAGGUGCUGACAUCCAGACAUGAGACACCAGGCCCAGCUUCAAUUUUUGUACCUUAAAGCCUGUACCACCAGGCUUUAUCCUGUUUCAUCAUGAAAGUGUUCCGUCUGUCCAGCUCAAGCUGGUGCCACUGUCUUCACUGGGAAACAACAGAGAAAACCCCAAGGGCUGGCGAGAUGGCUUACGUGUUCAAGGUGCUUGCAGCCAAGCCGGACAACCUGAGUUCAAUCCCUGGAGCCAACUUAAUGGAAGGAGGGAAUCAAUUCUCAUAAGUUGUCAUGUGUGUGCUUCCACACUUGGUUUGUGCAGCGCUGAAGAUCAAGCAUGCUAGACAAGCAUUCCACCAACGGAGCCAUG